rnacentral:rRNA from 1 species
CCUACGGGUGGCUGCAGUGGGGAAUCUUGCGCAAUGGGCGAAACCCUGACGGAGUAACGCCGCGUGAUCGAAUGAAGGCCUUCGGGUUGUAAGGAUCUGUUGACAGGGACGAAUAAGCCAUGCGCAUAGUUUGGUGUAUGACGGUACCUGUUUAGAGAACUCCGGCUAACUACGUGCCAGCAGCCGCGGUAAUACGUAGGGAGCAAGCGUUGUCCGGAAUUACUGGGCGUAAAGGGCGCGUAGGUGGGUGCUUAAGUCAGGUGUGAAAACUCUGGGCUCAACCUGGAGACUGCACUGGAAACUGGGUAUCUUGAGGGCAGGAGAGGAAAGUGGAAUUCCUAGUGUAGCGGUGAAAUGCGUAGAUAUUAGGAGGAACACCAGUGGCGAAGGCGACUUUCUGGACUGUACCUGACGCUGAGGCGCGAAAGCGUGGGGAGCGAACGGGAUUAGAUACCCCAGUAGUC